rnacentral:misc_RNA from 1 species
GAUGAAGAACGUAGCGAAAUGCGAUAAGUAGUGUGAAUUGCAGAAUUCAGUGAAUCAUCGAAUCUUUGAACGCACAUUGCGGCCAUAGGUAUUCCUUUGGCCAUGCCUGUUCGAGCGUCAUUUACACCCUCAAGCCUAGCUUGGUGUUGGGCGUCUGUCCCGCCGUUCUCGCGCGCGGACUCGCCUCAAAGUCAUUGGCGGCGGUCGUGCCGGCCCCCUCGCGCAGCACAUUUGCGCUUCUCGGAGGCCCGGCGGAUCCGCGCUCCAGCAAGACCUUUCACAACUUGACCUCGGAUCAGGUAGGGAUACCCGCUGAACUUAAGCACAUCAAUAGCGGAGGA